AUGAACGCUGGCGGCGUGCCUAAUACCUGCCAGUCGAGCGAACAGACGAGGAGCUUGCUCCUCUGACGUUAGCGGCGGACGGGUGAGUAACACGUGGAUAACCUACCUAUAAGACUGGGAUAACUUCGGGAAACCGGAGCUAAUACCGGAUAAUAUAUUGAACCGCAUGGUUCAAUAGUGAAAGACGGUUUUGCUGUCACUUAUAGAUGGAUCCGCGCCGCAUUAGCUAGUUGGUAAGGUAACGGCUUACCAAGGCGACGAUGCGUAGCCGACCUGAGAGGGUGAUCGGCCACACUGGAACUGAGACACGGUCCAGACUCCUACGGGAGGCAGCAGUAGGGAAUCUUCCGCAAUGGGCGAAAGCCUGCCGGAGCAACGCCGCGUGAGUGAUGAAGGUCUUCGGAUCGUAAAACUCUGUUAUUAGGGAAGAACAAAUGUGUAAGUAACUAUGCACGUCUUGACGGUACCUAAUCAGAAAGCCACGGCUAACUACGUG
rnacentral:rRNA from 1 species